GUACACAAAAAUGCACAUGCUGUGAGCUCGAUGAGUAGGGCGGGACACGUGGUAUCCUGUCUGAAUAUGGGGGGACCAUCCUCCAAGGCUAAAUACUCCUGACUGACCGAUAGUGAACCAGUACCGUGAGGGAAAGGCGAAAAGAACCCCGGCGAGGGGAGUGAAAAAGAACCUGAAACCGUGUACGUACAAGCAGUGGGAGCACGCUUAGGCGUGUGACUGCGUACCUUUUGUAUAAUGGGUCAGCGACUUAUAUUCUGUAGCAAGGUUAACCGAAUAGGGGAGCCGAAGGGAAACCGAGUCUUAACUGGGCGUUAAGUUGCAGGGUAUAGACCCGAAACCCGGUGAUCUAGCCAUGGGCAGGUUGAAGGUUGGGUAACACUAACUGGAGGACCGAACCGACUAAUGUUGAAAAAUUAGCGGAUGACUUGUGGCUGGGGGUGAAAGGCCAAUCAAACCGGGAGAUAGCUGGUUCUCCCCGAAAGCUAUUUAGGUAGCGCCUCGUGAAUUCAUCUCCGGGGGUAGAGCACUGUUUCGGCAAGGGGGUCAUCCCGACUUACCAACCCGAUGCAAACUGCGAAUACCGGAGAAUGUUAUCACGGGAGACACACGGCGGGUGCUAACGUCCGUCGUGAAGAGGGAAACAACCCAGACCGCCAGCUAAGGUCCCAAAGUCAUGGUUAAGUGGGAAACGAUGUGGGAAGGCCCAGACAGCCAGGAUGUUGGCUUAGAAGCAGCCAUCAUUUAAAGAAAGCGUAAUAGCUCACUGGUCGAGUCGGCCUGCGCGGAAGAUGUAACGGGGCUAAACCAUGCACCGAAGCUGCGGCAGCGACGCUUAUGCGUUGUUGGGUAGGGGAGCGUUCUGUAAGCCUGCGAAGGUGUGCUGUGAGGCAUGCUGGAGGUAUCAGAAGUGCGAAUGCUGACAUAAGUAACGAUAAAGCGGGUGAAAAGCCCGCUCGCCGGAAGACCAAGGGUUCCUGUCCAACGUUAAUCGGGGCAGGGUGAGU
rnacentral:rRNA from 1 species